UUACAUUUUGGUGAUCAAUUGAUCAUCAAUGAUCAAUACUUUUGGUACUUAAAGAAUAUGAUGUUAAUAAUUAGUUUGUAGUUUGACUUAAGAUUUUGAAAUUGUGGUACAUAACAGUGCAGUAGCCGAAUAUUAAUAAAACAGCUCUAUAUUAUUUCUGAUACCAGUUAUUGCUAUUAUUAUUGUUAAAAUGACCGUAGUCUCCCUGUUUCCCCCUGCUGUUCAGUAAACAGAAAAUGCAUUUUCGAGAUAUUCAUUUUAUCCAAUUAGGAGAGAGAAUUCAUGCAGGAUGAAGAAUAAACAAGUGAAAGUAGAAGUGAUUAAAUAAGAGAAACUUUAUUUAUCGUAGGGGGAAAUCAAAAUGGAAAAUUGACACUUUCUAAGAAAUGUAUUUCUGUUUACUAAAGAGCUGAUUAGAUGUAAACCUCUGUUACUGAAUAAACGCUUCAUCAGAAUAUAGAGUUUUACUUUUACAAAAAGUUCCACUGUAUAUUCCAUCAACUUGGGUCUGUAUUUAUAUAGUAUUGGAGUGUCAAAAUGACCAGACGAAAACCUGGAAAACGAUGGAGAAGGACUGGUAAUGAAGAAGACCCAAAUAAACGACCAAGACGGGCUGCACAAUUGAUGAGUAGCCUGGCAUAGUUGUGUUGCAGUAAAUUUGCAGCAGAUAGGAUAUUUAAUGCCUUAUUUUCCUCCCUGCAGUCAUCCCUCCCUGCAGCCGCCAGUGUUCAUGUGGAGACUGAUCAGCAAUAUUUAGGAGGUAGCAGCAGCGGAACACAGUGGGGGGGGUGCCUCCUGGAGGAACCCAAAACGCUGCACUUCAAGGGGAACAUGCCCAACAUCCAGGUGUCCAUGCAGGAUGUACCGCACUCAAGUCUCUCACCACCUGCCAGGUACACACACCCUGUCUGUCUGUCUGUAAUGAUGUACAGUAUAUUUUGUCACUGAGCAGGGGUCUCAUUUAUAAAGCGUGCGUACGCACAAAAAAGGCCUUGAAACAGGCGUACGCCACUUUCGACGCAUAAGUUGUGAUUUAUAAAAACAAACUUGACGGGAUAAUUUGCGCACCUGCACGCAAACUCUGACCCAUGCGUACGAACGUUUUGGAGACGGCGCAGUUUGGCGACACCGAUGGUGAGCUGGAGUUAAAUGUCUUUUUGGUCACUUUUAGGCAAAAAAUCAAAGAAAAUUAUACAGCUACAGAAAGAUAAUACAAAUAUAAUUUCACUCACCAAGCAUAUCACUUGAAGCAAAUAUCCAUCCAUUCUUAAAUGUCCGCGUCAGCGAGCGCGUUGGGCCGUUUAGUGAAACUGACGCAUAAUAUAGCCUGACGUAAAACCGUAAAUCUUCAUUAUGAGUAGUAAUCAUAAAUAGGCUACAGUGCAUGUUCACAAUAACAGUUUAAAUAAAUAAAUUAAUAAUUUACUAAACUAUAUGUUU
ensembl:lncRNA